GGAAGUAAAAGUCGUAACAAGAUCUCCGUUGGUGAACCAGCGGAGGGAUCAUUACCGAGUUUACAACUCCCAAACCCCUGUGAACAUACCAUUUGUUGCCUCGGCGGUGCCUGCUUCGGCAGCCCGCCAGAGGACCCAAACCCUUGAUUUUAUACAGUAUCUUCUGAGUAAAUGAUUAAAUAAAUCAAAACUUUCAACAACGGAUCUCUUGGUUCUG
rnacentral:misc_RNA from 1 species